CGAAUGCUGACAUAAGUAACGAUAAAGCGGGUGAAAAGCCCGCUCGCCGGAAGACCAAGGGUUCCUGUCCAACGUUAAUCGGGGCAGGGUGAGUCGACCCCUAAGGCGAGGCCGAAAGGCGUAGUCGAUGGGAAACAGGUUAAUAUUCCUGUACUUGGUGUUACUGCGAAGGGGGGACGGAGAAGGCUAUGUUGGCCGGGCGACGGUUGUCCCGGUUUAAGCGUGUAGGCUGGUUUUCCAGGCAAAUCCGGAAAAUCAAGGCUGAGGCGUGAUGACGAGGCACUACGGUGCUGAAGCAACAAAUGCCCUGCUUCCAGGAAAAGCCUCUAAGCAUCAGGUAACAUCAAAUCGUACCCCAAACCGACACAGGUGGUCAGGUAGAGAAUACCAAGGCGCUUGAGAGAACUCGGGUGAAGGAACUAGGCAAAAUGGUGCCGUAACUUCGGGAGAAGGCACGCUGAUAUGUAGGUGAAGUCCCUCGCGGAUGGAGCUGAAAUCAGUCGAAGAUACCAGCUGGCUGCAACUGUUUAUUAAAAACACAGCACUGUGCAAACACGAAAGUGGACGUAUACGGUGUGACGCCUGCCCGGUGCCGGAAGGUUAAUUGAUGGGGUUAGCGCAAGCGAAGCUCUUGAUCGAAGCCCCGGUAAACGGCGGCCGUAACUAUAACGGUCCUAAGGUAGCGAAAUUCCUUGUCGGGUAAGUUCCGACCUGCACGAAUGGCGUAAUGAUGGCCAGGCUGUCUCCACCCGAGACUCAGUGAAAUUGAACUCGCUGUGAAGAUGCAGUGUACCCGCGGCAAGACGGAAAGACCCCGUGAACCUUUACUAUAGCUUGACACUGAACAUUGAGCCUUGAUGUGUAGGAUAGGUGGGAGGCUUUGAAGUGUGGACGCCAGUCUGCAUGGAGCCGACCUUGAAAUACCACCCUUUAAUGUUUGAUGUUCUAACGUGGACCCGUAAUCCGGGUUGCGGACAGUGUCUGGUGGGUAGUUUGACUGGGGCGGUCUCCUCCUAAAGAGUAACGGAGGAGCACGAAGGUUGGCUAAUCCUGGUCGGACAUCAGGAGGUUAGUGCAAUGGCAUAAGCCAGCUUGACUGCGAGCGUGACGGCGCGAGCAGGUGCGAAAGCAGGUCAUAGUGAUCCGGUGGUUCUGAAUGGAAGGGCCAUCGCUCAACGGAUAAAAGGUACUCCGGGGAUAACAGGCUGAUACCGCCCAAGAGUUCAUAUCGACGGCGGUGUUUGGCACCUCGAUGUCGGCUCAUCACAUCCUGGGGCUGAAGUAGGUCCCAAGGGUAUGGCUGUUCGCCAUUUAAAGUGGUACGCGAGCUGGGUUUAGAACGUCGUGAGACAGUUCGGUCCCUAUCUGCCGUGGGCGCUGGAGAAUUGAGGGGGGCUGCUCCUAGUACGAGAGGACCGGAGUGGACGCAUCACUGGUGUUCGGGUUGUCAUGCCAAUGGCACUGCCCGGUAGCUAAAUGCGGAAGAGAUAAGUGCUGAAAGCAUCUAAGCACGAAACUUGCCCCGAGAUGAGUUCUCCCUGACUCCUUGAGAGUCCUGAAGGAACGUUGAAGACGACGACGUUGAUAGGCCGGGUGUGUAAGCGCAGCGAUGCGUUGAGCUAACCGGUACUAAUGAACCGUGAGGCUUAACCUUACAACGCCGAAGCUGUU
rnacentral:rRNA from 1 species